AAUACGGCAACAUUAACUUCUAAAAUCAGCACUAAUUAUUCUAACAAUUUCUGUAUAAACCUGAGAUUAUAUGAUUAAAAAUUGUACUUUAUUUUCCAUGAAAGACAUACAUAUGUUAAGCUAUUGAUUGAUUAAAUGCAGUCUACUUUUCUUGAAACACACUGGUGCUAAAGUAAUUCAGUAUCAAAAAGUAAAAUGUGCUUAGCCACACAUAUUAACACUUUUUCCAAAGGUCUGAGGGAUAUACAAGAUUUACCCCUCGGAGCCUGUAGCUAGAAUUCGCCGACAUUGUUACAAAGUCGUAUACUUUUGGAGCUAUAGUAGCCAAUGAGCGUCAUUCCGAAAUUGUAUCAUUGUUUCAUCGAAUCAAAUUUGUUUAUCACUGCAAGGUGAUAGACAAAUAUCUAUAUGCUGUUUAUUGGAGAAACUUUGUUAUUCGUCUUACUUUACCCUCAGUCAAA
rnacentral:lncRNA from 1 species